rnacentral:sRNA from 1 species
UAAGGCCCGGCCCACAUAUAUCAAAGCGGCCAUUUUCGUAAUUUCUCCACGGCGAGAAGAGAAGAUAACGGCAUUUCGAUCGGAGUUUUGAUCGGCGACGAUGGAGAGAAACGUUGAGAAGAUGCUGAACAGAGUUUCAGUCGUGUUCUUAAGCAUCGGAACAGUGUUAAUGGUGAUUAUGAUUCUCCAGACGCCAAAACUUGUAUUUCACCAGAAGCUCCAUCGAAACCUCAUACGCAUUUUCUGAGAUCUACAUGCGAUUCAUCGCCUCGUCAGCAUCUUCCUCUCCCAAAGAAGAACGCUCGAAUCUGGUUCUCUGGAGCUUGGAAAUCGCGUCUAUCCUCCUUCUCUACCUACUUCCUCCGAUUUCGCGAUCUCGGAUUCAUUCAAAAUCACACCAAAGCUCUCUGUCUUUCCGACGGAGCAGGCCAUGCUCCGAUGGCUCUUUCUCAGAUCGGAUUAUCCGACGUUACCGCAGUUGAAUUGGUUGAUUCGAUUCCUCUUGUGAAAAGAGCUGAUCCUCAUAACCUUCCGUUUUUCGACCGUGUCUUUGAUUUUGUCUUUACUGCACAUCUAGCUGAAGCUCUGUUUCCGUGGCGGUUCGUGGAGGAGAUGGAGAGGACGGUGCGACGCGGUGGGUUUUGUGUGGUUGCGGUUGAUGAAUGUAGUGGAGAUGAUGUUAGAGACAUUGCUAGGUUUUUUCAUAAUUCCAAGAUCGUUGAUGUUGCUAAUGUAACCUUAGAAAGAGUCAAAAGAACUAGUAUACUAUUCAAACUUCAAGACUCUAAAAGGACUAGUAUACUAUUCAAAGUUCAAGACUCUCUUUC